rnacentral:lncRNA from 1 species
UGGUCCCCGCUACCUUGCCAGGUGUCCAGCACCCCGGAGUCAACGCAUCCAGGGCUCCCCUGAAGAUGAACCAUGAACCCUGAUUACACUCCACCUGACCAAAUGCCCCUUUCCCAUGAGAUGAGAGAGCGGAUGGCAGCUAAAUUCAAGAAGAGCUGUUCAAGGUGUGGGAAAAUUUGAAGGAUGUCACAGGAUUUGAUGGCACAAAUGUUCUGUCCUAGGCUCUAUGGCCUAAGAUAUCAGUGGCAUCUUCUGCAGACCUAUUAGAGUAUCUUGGGUGGUCUCAUACACAGAUGUCUCUGACCCCGAAUUAUUAGAAGCAAUCACCUUUGAUAUACUUAUUUGGUAAAUACUAGGUUCCCAAUUGAUCCCUAGUUUUGGAGGGGUGUUGUAUGUAUGUUUCAAUGCUGGGGCUAGAAUCCUAGAUCCCUAUGCUAGGUGGGCCCUCUACCACAAAGCUACAUCCUGGGCUCCCAGUUUUUUGUUUGUUAGUUUUUGUUUUGUUUUUAAAGAAUAAUUAUCCACAACUGGAAUUGAAAUUCUAGUCCAGCUGUUAGCAUUCCAGAGUCCUGAUUUAGCUAUUUCCAUGAGCAUGCAUGUAUUUUUUAGUGGUGCAAUCACAGGUUUGUUGAAUAAGAUUAAUGGAGUUGUUAUAAAUUAAGUGACCAAUGCUAAGAGGUGGCCAAGAGCUGGUCAGAGACUUUCAGAGCAAGUGGCACUUUAUGUCUAGUCAUUUUCUUGUUCUGUGUUUGUUGGAACCAAGGGCUAUUCAAAAGAGCUUCCACACAGUUAUCUGAAAGACCAGGGCUCUGAAAAGCAGCCAGCCAGCCACCAUCAGCACUCCUCCAGGUCAUAGGUGGGGAUUUGCACUUGACACUCAAUACCUGUUCAUUUGAGCCAGGCAGAAUGCAGAGGGAAAGAUCCUUGAUUAAGACAGGUCUGGCAAAAGUGUAGAACAUAAGUCUUUUAGAAGCUCCUGCCUAGGGCUCAUCGUAGGCUGGAUACAACCCACUUAGGUCUCAGAGCCUCUGAGCAAAGGCCCCGUAGGCUUGUCUCAGAGCAUAAGGACCUCUGAGGAGAAAAUGCUUGGUGUGCUGCCUGGGAAUGGGGUAGGGUCCAGUGAUGUCUGAUAUCGGGGUAGUGGCUGGGAGGUUCUUGAUUGCCUAAGCAGCCUUACAUCGUAUUGAAGGCCAGUCAAUUCUUGCUUCUGCUUAUGACUUGUAAAAUAGUAGCAUGAGGUGUGUGCUUGGAGACCUGUCAGUCUCCAGCAGUGGGCAGAAGAGAUAGGCGACAGGAGCAGAGGGAGAAAAGAGGGAGCUGGCUUACAGUCUUUGCCCUUCUCAGUUCUGAACUUCCCUGGCCUGGGCGCCCCUUGCUGUUGGGAGGAUCCCAUCCUCGAGUGCCUCCUAUCCUCCUGCCUUCCAGACAACUUCCAAUAGCAGUUCAAGUUUAGAAAGCUUCGUCUUCCUCUCUCCUCGUGGGAAGUGUGGCCAGUCUCAGUAAUACACUUAGGGAUUUUUUUUUUUUAACAACAAAGAUCUGAGCUCCCUUAGACUCCUUAAAGUGAAAGUUGGAAGAUAAAAAUAGUCACAUGAAUGGGGUCAUUGUUUCAUUUCUUAGCUAUGUGGAGGGAACUCUGCAAACUCUCUUUGGGGCACCCGGUUGGCAAUCGAGGGGAAUAGAGUGUAGGGACUUCUCAUUUGUCCUUUGCAACUCUGACUGAAAGAGAGUUGUUUUGGAGGCCAUCCCUCUUGAUACCCCAGAGAUCAUUCUUCGUUUUUUUGAGGCCAAUAUUUGGUUAUAAGGUACGGCAUUGGAUGAAAGGGUUGUUCUGUCAGCCUCUUGCAAAGAUUGAAACUGCACAGUCGGUUUGAUUUUAAUUACUUUAAAAAGCCAAUGCCAAGGGAAGAUUGUGCAUGUGUGUGUGUGUGCAUGUGUAUGUGUGUGUAUGUCUGUGUGUUUGUGUGUUUCUCUGUGUGUAUCUGUAUCUGUGUGUGUGUAUGUGUCUGUGUGUAUAAUGCACACAUGAUUUCUACAUUCAGCCUGUUGCUGCCUCUGUAGUCAUUAAGUUAGAACAGGGGAGAGGCAAAUUUCCAGCUAUUUCUAGCUUAGCUAGAAAUUUCUAGCUAAGGAAUCCCUUUUUUAAAAAGUCUUGAUAAUAUUUUAAAGUAUAAAUCUGGUUAGGAUCAUAAAUAUGAAUAGCUUAUAUAAACGUAUCUUUCUUGUAGGGUUUUUUCUUUUUUUGUAUUAAUUACCCAAAGCUUCAUCCAUCCUCAAACUUUUAAAGUUUAUUAUUAUUAUUAAAUUAAUGGGCAUUGUGUUUGUAAAUUUUUUAAAAAAUAUUAAUGUUUUAUUUAAAUGCCAUGCUGAACAGUUGUUCUUGCCAUGUGGCAACAAAAACAAGAGAUUUCGAUCAAUUUUGAUCAAUAUUUAGUGAUCUGAAACAUGUACUAUGUACAGAUGCAAUAAUACGGCUUUGAACUGAGUCCAGUGGCUGCCCAAGGCCUUUCAAUUCAGCUCAGUUCUGCAUUUCAUAUGGCUACUGUCAUGGCCUCUAUCUGACAUGCACACACCUUUGGUGUAUAUUUGGUGCUGGAGAGUCAUAUAUGCCAAUAUUCUCAGAUACGAUGGCUCUACC